rnacentral:rRNA from 1 species
AGCACGUAAGGGGGUUUGUAAGUCAGAUGUGAAAGCCUUCUGUUCAAAGGAAGAAUUGCAUCUGAAACUGCAAACCUUGAGUGUAGGAGGGGAGAGUGGAACUUCUGGUGGAGCGGUGAAAUGCGUAGAUAUCAGAAGGAACGCCGGCGGCGAAAGCGACUCUCUGGCCUAUUACUGACACUGAGUGUGCGAAAGCUAGGGGAGCAAACGGGAUUAGAUACCCCGGUA